GUUCGGAUCGAUAACCGCUGAAGCAUCUAAGCGGGAAGCGAGUCCUAAGAUGAGUCAUCCCUAGGGAUUUAAUUCCUCUAAAGAGCCGUUCGAGACUAGGACGUUGAUAGGCAGGGUGUGUAAGUGCUGUGAGGCAUUGAGCUACCUGUACUAAUGACUCGUGAGGCUUAACCAU
rnacentral:ncRNA from 1 species